AUCGCUUCUCGGCCUUUUGGCUAAGAUCAAGUGUAAAAAUUAUUUCUUACAUAUAAUCUUAUUGCAUCUCACCCUUU
rnacentral:sRNA from 1 species